rnacentral:lncRNA from 1 species
GAAGGUGUAAGCCACCGUGCUUGGCCUGUCAACUGUACUUUAAUGAAUAAGGCAUAAAACCUUAGUUUAGUGCAUAGUUGUUUACCUCCAUUACCCCUUUUCUCCAUCAAGACUACCUUGUAUUUGUUUAGGCAGCCACCUCUCAACAACCCAUGAAGUGUCUGGAGCUCCACCCUCUGCUCAAGAGGAACGGCACAUGACCCAGGCCUAUGCCAAUCAGCAUUUCACAUUCCUCAUGGUUGGUUCAAAGGUGAGCAAGUAAUUGAAAUCAGUUGUGUGACAGUAUUGGGAGGUGGUGCCUUUAAGAGAUGAUUAGAUGGUUAAGAGGGAUGAAUGCCUUACUCUUGCAGUGAGUUCUUGUUCUCUCAGUUCUGGAUUAGUUCCCAUGAGAGUGGGUUGUUAUAAAGCAAGGCUGCCUUUUGCGUUUGGUCUCUUUUGCUUGCCCGUCCACUUUUCUGCCACAGUAUAAUGUGGCAGGAGGCCCUCACCAGAUGCAGCUGCCUGAUCUUGAACGUCCUAGUCUCUAGAACUGUGAGCCUAAUAAACCUCUUUCCUUUAUAAAUUACCCAGUCUUAGGUAUAUUGUUAUAGCAACAGAAAACGGAUUAAGACAUAUGUUGUACUUGAACCUUAAUGUACUUGAACUUGAAGUUUGAUGGCUGCAGCAGCUAUAGCCAUCUUACUUCCAUGUGAAGCCUAAGAAUUAAGCAACACAUGGAAGGGAACACAUCUUUUGAGCCCCAAUUUGGCCAUGAGUUGCCCUUAGAUUUUUUUAGUUAUGUGAGCCAAUACAUUUCCUAAAACAGGUAAAAUUAUGUUUUUAGACACUGAUAACCAAAACAGGUCAAACUAUGCUUACGGCAAUUUGCUUUAAAAGAGAACUAGACAGAGAGAAUUUGUUGCCUUUUGACCAAUGCUUCCAUGAGAGAGCUGAUAUUCUGAUUCCUGACCUCAACCACUAUUUGAUUGGCAGAUGUACACUUACACACUGCAUAAUGACAUUUUGGUCAAUGAUGGGCGCUUGAGCCCAGGAGGUCAAGGCUGCAGUGAGCUGUCAUUGUGCCACUGCACUCCAAUCUAAAUGACAGAGUGAGACCCUGUCUCAAAAAAAAAAAAAAAAAAUAUCUUGGCACAGUUUGUUCUCUAUUGCUGUUUGCAGCUAACCAUACAGCCAGGCCUUCCUUUGCAGCUUUGUAUCUGGGUACACCUGUUUCCUCCUGAGACAUGAAGGUCCUUGAGGACAUUUGCUUCCUGGAGAGAAAAUUGUCACCAAAAUUAAAAAUACAAUCUAGAGGUAGCUUUCUGAAAUCAUUUUAAACAUAAAGAGAUAUGACUUAAAAAUUUUUCAUCUGAACUGUCAAUUUCCAUAAAUAGCUUAAUAUAGUGAAAAAUUGAGAGGUUCUUGAAGCCACUAAGUCUAAUAAAAAAAUGCAAUUCCAUGGGGUUUUCGGUUUUCUGCUUUUUCCUUAGGGUCCUCAAAGAUGAGGAAGGCUUUGUCUUUGUGAGAAAGCUCAUUCUAGUCACUUCAAAACAUACUGGAAAAAUAGCAUAUGAGCUAAUUUGGUUUCUGUGACAUGAUGAUUCUAUUCCCCUAUUACCUGUCACAUGAGAGCCAGUUAGGACUAAGAAAACACCAGGGUGGUUAAAUGGUAAAUUUUAUGUUAUGCAUAUUUGGCCACUGUAUAUAUUUAAAAAUUGAGGCUCUACAGGAGCUCUUGUUUAUGUGGGCUAUGCCUAUCAAUGUUUACCUUAGUAGUCAGUAAAACUGGGAUUUUUUUUUCAAAGGAACACCAUUAUGAAUAGAUGAUGCUAACAUUGGUGUAUCCACCACUCAGCUUCAGAAAUCAAACUUUACUGAUAUCCUUGAAUCCCCAUAUGUGUCCUUCCCUGAAUGCAUUCCUUUGUCCCCCAGAAGUACAGACUAUCCAGGAUUCAGUGUUUAUCAUUCCCAUGUCUUUCUUUAUGGGUUUUCUAAAUUUAGAAUAUCCCCAGAGACAGUUUAAAAUUUUUAAGCCAAUGCAGCCAUAACACAGUAUGUGUAUUAUUUUGGAACUUUUAUUGACUUGGUUCAUCCACCCCUCCAGGUGCCAUUGGUCACCCAACCCCCUCCAAAGCAGAGGGGCAGUUCUCUCUAGUACUUUAUUAGCUGCCUUGAUGUCUUGUUUCCAGUCCCUUCAGAAAUUAUGGUGGAGAUACACACAUACACAUUAAUGGAAUAAACACUCUUCCCUCCUCUCCCUUGGGGCUCCUUCCCCCAAAGAGGUCCAUUGUCCACAAGUACUCAUUUGUGGGACUCAAUAUGUUCCCAGCCACAACAGAGCAUUACAUUAGAAUAGGAGCUAACAUGUGGGAAUCAGCAUAUGUUUAGAAUUACAUCUUACACACUGAAAAAUGCACUGGAAGAGCAGCCAUUAUUGACAGAGACGGUCCUGGCUAAUAGAUCUGCCUAGUUUUAGGCUGCUUAGGGGAACAGGGGUCCUGGAAUAAGAAGCCCCACCCCCUCCUAUGAAGAGAGGAAAGCUGGAGACAAAAAGAGGAAGCAAGAGAUGAAUUGCAAAAAACUAAUCAGAUUGCAACCUCAAGGUAACAUUUUGCAUAAUAAGUUCUAACAAUGUUUUCUUGUUUAUAUCAGCCUCCUCCUCUUAGCCUGGCUUACUAGGCUGGUGUUUAAUUCCAAUGCUUCUGGGUUAAUUUAUUCAACUUUAUUAUCCUUACUAUAGUAGCCUCCCCUAGCGUUCUCCCCUACCUCUCAAAGGUCUCAUCUAAGUGUGUAUAAAGCUGUUAAAUAGAGGAGAGGAAUCAGGAUGAACUGCACAGCAUUUUCUUAAGGCCUGUGGGUUCUGGAGCCUAUGCUUCAGCAACUGAAGCUGAACUGUGUGGUUGUUGCUAACAUUGGUGUAUCCACCACUAAGCCUCAGAAAUAAAACUUUACUGAUAUCUUUGAAUCCCAUGUGUGUCCUUCCCUGAAUGCAUUGCUUUGUCACCCAGAGGUAACAGCUAU